rnacentral:rRNA from 1 species
UACGUAGGGUCCGAGCGUUGUCCGGAAUUAUUGGGCGUAAAGGGCUCGUAGGCGGUUCGUCACGUCGGGAGUGAAAACUCGGAGCUCAACUCCGAGCCUGCUUCCGAUACGGGCAGACUAGAGGUAGGCAGGGGAGAGCGGAACUCCUGGUGUAGCGGUGGAAUGCGCAGAUAUCAGGAGGAACACCGGUGGCGAAGGCGGAUCUCUGGGCCGUAACUGACGCUGAGGAGCGAAAGCAUGGGUAGCGAACAGG